CCUACGGGAGGCAGCAGUGGGGAAUAUUGGACAAUGGGCGCAAGCCUGACCCAGCAACGCCGCGUGAAGGAAGAAGGCUUUCGGGUUGUAAACUUCUGUUCUCAGGGACGAAGCAAGUGACGGUACCUGAGGAAUAAGCCACGGCUAAAUACGUGCCAGCAGCCGCGGUAAUACGUAGGUGGCAAGCGUUAUCCGGAUUUACUGGGUGUAAAGGGCGUGUAGGCGGGACUGUAAGUCAGCUGUGAAAACCACGGGCUUAACCUGUGGACUGCAUUUGACACUGUAGUUCUUGAGUACUGGAGAGGUAGACGGAAUUCCUAGUGUAGCGGUGAAAUGCGUAGAUAUUAGGAGGAACACCAGUGGCGAAGGCGGUCUGCUGGACAGCAACUGACGCUGAGGCGCGAAAGCGUGGGGAGCAAACAGGAUUAGAUACCCUUGUAGUC
rnacentral:rRNA from 1 species